GAUGAACGCUAGCUACAGGCUUAACACAUGCAAGUCGAGGGGAAACGGCAUUGAGUGCUUGCACUCUUUGGACGUCGACCGGCGCACGGGUGAGUAACGCGUAUCCAACCUUCCCAUUACUGUGGGAUAACCUGCCGAAAGGCAGACUAAUACCGCAUAGUCUUCGAUGACGGCAUCAGAUUUGAAGUAAAGAUUUAUCGGUAAUGGAUGGGGAUGCGUCUGAUUAGCUUGUUGGCGGGGUAACGGCCCACCAAGGCUACGAUCAGUAGGGGUUCUGAGAGGAAGGUCCCCCACAUUGGAAUGAGACACGGUCCAAACUCCUACGGGAGGCAGCAGUGAGGAAUAUUGGUCAAUGGACGGAAGUCUGAACCAGCCAAGUAGCGUGCAGGAUGACGGCCCUAUGGGUUGUAGACUGCUUUUGUAUGGGGAUAAAGUUAGGGACGUGUCCCUAUUUGCAGGUACC
rnacentral:rRNA from 1 species